UUCAGUACACCAACGCAUUAGCAAGUAGUAAGGUCGAAAAAAAAAACAAAAAAUUUUUAUAUUUUUCAUUUUUACACAAAAAUACAAAAAACUGGAAAACAUUUCUUUGGCAACCGAAAUUUUGAAUUCCGCAAGGCCGUAGCGAAUUCAUUAUCCUUAGUCAUGUCUUCAAUCAACAAUGGAGAAGUCCACAUCCCCAAUGGAGAUACAACGCCAAGUAACGCUUCUCUUACGACGUGGCACAGAUCUUGGACUUUGGAUGCUGCAAGGGGUUCCAGUUCCAGUGAUCCGCCUGCUAUCCGCUCUAGUUUUCCAUAAGGGUGCCCACUGCUUCUGGAAAACCAGAGCGAGGAGAAGACCCAGCAGAGUGGAUCCGCGACAAAUACAUACCACAACACAGGGGGAAGUGUCCAAUAUACGCAAUAAAUAGGGUCAAAGUAA